rnacentral:rRNA from 1 species
UACCAGCACCCCGAGUGGUCGGGACGUUUAUUGGGCCUAAAGCAUCCGUAGCCGGUUCUGCAAGUCCCCGUUAAAUCCAGCUGCUCAACAGAUGGGCCGCGGAGGAUACUAUAGAGCUAGGAGGCGGGAGAGGCAAGCGGUACUCGAUGGGUAGGGGUAAAAUCCGUUGAUCCAUUGAAGACCACCAGUGGCGAAGGCGGCUUGCCAGAACGCGCUCGACGGUGAGGGAUGAAAGCUGGGGAGCAACCGG